UACCUCAGUAACGGCGAGUGAAGCGGUAACAGCUCAAAUUUGAAAUCUGGGUCUUUCAGGCUCCGAGUUGUAAUUUGUAGAAGAUGCUUCGGGUGCGGCUCCGGUCUAAGUUCCUUGGAACAGGACGUCAUAGAGGGUGAGAAUCCCGUAUGUGAUCGGCCGCUUGCGCCCAUGUGAAGCUCUUUCGACGAGUCGAGUUGUUUGGGAAUGCAGCUCCAAAUGGGUGGUAUAUUUCAUCUAAAGCUAAAUAUUGGCCAGAGACCGAUAGCGCACAAGUAGAGUGAUCGAAAGAUGAAAAGCACUUUGGAAAGAGAGUUAAACAGUACGUGAAAUUGUUGAAAGGGAAGCGCUUGCAACCAGACUUGCGUGUUGUUGAUCAUCCGGGGUUCUCCCCGGUGCACUCGACCUCACUCAGGCCAGCAUCGGUUUCGGUGGUUGGAUAAAGGCCUUGGGAAUGUAGCUCCUCUCGGGGAGUGUUAUAGCCCUCGGUGCAAUGCAGCCUACCGGGACCGAGGACCGCGCUUCGGCUAGGAUGCUGGCGUAAUGGUUGUAAGCGACCCGUCUUGAAACACGGACCAAGGAGUCUAACAUCUAUGCGAGUGUUUGGGUGUCAAACCCAUACGCGUAAUGAAAGUGAACGGAGGUGAGAACCCUUAAGGGUGCAUCAUCGACCGAUCCUGAUGUCUUCGGAUGGAUUUGAGUAAGAGCAUAGCUGUUGGGACCCGAAAGAUGGUGAACUAUGCCUGAAUAGGGUGAAGCCAGAGGAAACUCUGGUGGAGGCUCGCAGCGGUUCUGACGUGCAAAUCGAUCGUCAAAUUUGGGUAUAG
rnacentral:rRNA from 1 species